rnacentral:rRNA from 1 species
GACGAACGCUGGCGGCGUGCUUAACACAUGCAAGUCGAACGGUGAAGCGCUUUCCUUUUUGGCGGGCGUGGGUGAGUGGCGAACGGGUGAGUAACACCUGAGUAACCUGCCCCCUUCUUCUGGAUAACCGCAUGAAAGUGUGGCUAAUACGGGAUAUUCUGGGCCUGUCGAAUGAUGGGUUCGGGAAAGCUAUUGCUUCGGAGGGGGAUGGGAUCGCGGUCUAUCAGGUUGUUGGUGGGGUGAUGCCCUACCAAGGCGAUGUCGGGUUGCUGGCCUGGGAGGGUGAGCGGCAACACUGGUGAUGCGAGACGGCCAAGACUCCGGCAGGCGGCAGCGGGGAGGAAUGUUGCACGGUGGGCGCAAUGCUGAUGCAGCGACGCCGCGGGAGGGAUGGAGGCCUGCGGGUUAUGAACCUCUUUCGCCAGUGAAGCAGACCUGCCUCGUUUGUGGGUGUGUUGACGGUAGCUGGAGAAGAAGCGCCGGCUAACUACGUG